CAUAAAGUAGAAAGCACUACUAAACCGCCGCGUCCCGUGUAGUGUUUCCUACUUUAUGGA
rnacentral:pre_miRNA from 1 species